rnacentral:misc_RNA from 1 species
AGGUGAGAGCUGGUAGGCGYUGGGGCAAAGUCACGAGUYGGCCUUAGUGCYUGACUUAUGGUGUCUUUGGCUUGAUGUUCAAGGCCUCGUAAGCCGCCUCCCGAGUGGGGACUUCGWUUGUGGUGAUGCCACAUCGGGGGAANCUGCGACAACGUCUUGAUCUAGGUCAAGGCGGGNAAUCAUGUUUUACAUGAUCAUCCUAGGAUGGUGCGGAUAGCUGGAUGGCAAGUGGGCAAGGCACSUUUUGUUCUUUUUAUAAGAUUGAUGUGUGUCYUUUGCCCGACCGUCAAAAAGUGAUCAUAGGCCGCCAUCCGAGUGGUACCCGGUUUUAUUUGUGGUGAGGCCACGUCGGGGAAACUGCGAAAACGUGAUGAUCUAAUCGUUUGUAGAUGCAAUCUUGUCGAAAGGCAAGUYGAUUGUKGAGAACGUCCCUAGAUCAGAUCGGUGAWCAUGYUWUUAUGUGAUUACGAUCAUGCUAGCCNAUGAUCAACCUAGGAUUGCGCUAACUGCUGUAUGGCUUGGAUGAGGGCGAGAGACACAAYGUGUGGCCUUUUGUAGGAUUGACGUGUGUCUUUUUUCCGACCGUCAUACAGCGAUCGUAAGACGCAUUCCGWGUGGAKACCUUCUUGUGGUGGGUUUUGUUCAAAUUGGUUCUCUUCGUAUCGUGCGGUACAUUUUGGGGUCGUAUUUGGCUUUCGGUUGUUUGYUUGGCUCUUUAGCCUUGCGGGUGRCYGUUUCCCAGGNCGGCUUYGKGGAUGUCUAUCGUAAANGGUGCAUGAGUGGUGUUUGGUUUGAUACGGGUGGUUGGCUCCCUGCUUGAGCAGGCACGGCCACGCGUACAUUCCUUUUCAGUUGUGCRGCAAGGCUUGUAUCGUCUUGAYUGUAUAUGUGGGUUUCCUGUGUUGCAUACCUGAUCAACGGCAUYGUUUUGAUCAAAAAUGUACCUUKUUCGUCAGGCGUUGCACCCGCAACGUCGGAUGAACCAUGUAGCAUCCUCUUUGAUCCAUAUAGUCGAUGAGCAUUCGUCGAUUGUUUGGCCCGUUGAGGGUGGCUUGGUCUCUCGGAUAUGGAAGCCAAAGUGGGCAUGGGUUCGUAUGAUCCUUUUAUUGCCCUCGUUGAGCGUUCUCGCUUCUCUUAGACAACUGCCUUUCACGUAUGGCACGUCCCAGCGUGUUUGGCWACGUUGAAGAGGAAUGC